GCAAUGAUGAAAAUGACCAUUUUGAUCAGCAGUGAGGUGAAAAGUACCUUGUAACAUGUCCUCUAAGAAGUUCUGAGCUU